rnacentral:lncRNA from 1 species
GAAUAGUCACAUAAGCCUCAUUUGUCCUAUUGAGCAGAGAAGAAAUUUGUCCCAGGCUUUUACAUUUUGAUGAUUUCUGCAAUGCUGAAGGAUCCAUUUUUUGAUGGAGCUAUACACUGCAAAGAACGUAGGUUAAUAAUCCCUACCCUUCUUCACAAUAUAGUAUCUAGCAAUGGAGCAAAGAUUCUUCAGGAAAUAUUAGGAAAUGUCUUUUUCCUCAGCGGGAAUUUGCAGAAAUCUUGUGGAUUUAAGGAAGAUUCCAUGUCUGAAAUCAUGAAGAGCUCACACCUAAAGCUCAAACAGCA